rnacentral:lncRNA from 1 species
AGCUUGCCAUCUCAAAUCUCAGCUGAUACCUACUUGUACUCAUCACCUCCUCCUCCCAAGAAGCCCUAUUAUUAUCACUCUCCUCCACCACCUUCACCUCCUCCACCUAAGCCAUACUACUAUCAUUCACCACCACCACCUUCACCUCCUCCACCCAAGCCAUACUACUAUCACUCACCACCACCACCUUCACCUCCUCCACCUAAACCAUACUACUAUCACUCACCACCACCACCUUCACCUCCUCCACCUAAACCAUACUACUAUCACUCACCACCACCACCUUCACCUCCUCCACCUAAACCAUACUACUAUCACUCACCACCACCACCUUCACCUCCUCCACCUAAGUCAUAUUACUAUCACUCACCACCACCACCACCCAAAAAGAAGCCAUACUACUACCAUUCUCCCCCACCACCUUCACCACCUCCUCCUAAGCCAUACUACUAUCACUCUCCCCCACCGCCUUCACCUCCUCCACCUACGCCAUACUACUAUCAUUCUCCCCCACCACCCUCACCACCUCCACCUAAGCCAUACUACUACCAUUCACCACCACCCCCACCGAAGAAGAAGCCUUACUACUACCACUCUCCACCACCACCUUCACCUCCUCCUCCAAAGAAGCCAUACUACUACCACUCCCCACCUCCUCCCAAGAAGCCCUACAAAUAUUCAUCUCCCCCACCUCCAGUGCACC